GCGGGGUUGUCACCGGUGCUGUCACCGAGGGAUCGCACAGGGUUCGAAGCAGCGGGGUCUCGCCUUGUGCCCAGCUGUCCACAGCGCUGUGCGCAAGGAUGGGGACAGACGACACAAAGACUCUGUGAAGGCUCCCGCUGUGCAGGCGCCGGGGAAAGGGUAAGGUGAAGGGAGAGCGAAUCGGUAGAGAGACACAGGGGAGGAGCGUUGCUCCACAGGGUCUCUCCCUCAAAUGCUGUACAGGGAUAUACAGCCAAAAAAUACAGAGAAACAGGUGGUAAGAAGCAAAUUUCCUAUUACCCCGCAGCAUGUGAAGGGAUCUCCCUCAGAGUUAAUGUUCAGAACUAGAGUGAUUAAAAUGGUAUGAAAUCAUUCAUGAUGCAGGCUAAUAGAAGAUUAAGCCUUCUCUAUCAUGCCUAGGUUAUAAGCAACUAACCUUGUUUUUCAAGACAACCGGUAUUUAACUCCCUAAAAAACUGCAUUAUUCUAUGGUCCGUAUUGGAUUUCCAUUUGUUGAGUGCAAGCAGUUGACUAGCACGUCUCUGCACCUGCCUGAACAGCUACAACAUCACUGGGAGUGCUUUACAGAUCUGUCAGCUUCAGGAAAAUUCAGCAGCUGGAAGGGAGAAAUAACUAGCUGGAAAUAAUGGCUGGAAGGGGCAUAAACAGCUUCUGAUAUUUAAACCCCUGGAACCAGAGGAACUAUGAGCUGCAAUUCCCAGUCUUAUUUUCACCUCUCACCUUCAGCCAUCCAAUUCUGACACUGGAUACAACGCACAAUACAGGCAAGACUCUGGUAUAGAAAUCCAUCAGACUCAAGCCUACUAGAGUGCCUCUGCCCCUUCCUAGGAAAUGGCACCUGGAACCACAAGGAGGAGUGACAUCAGAGCUUGUAUGCAAAUGAGAGGACAUCUUGCCCAGCUCAACAAAGAAAACCCCCUAAACAUCGAGCCGCCACUGAAUCAAAGGAUUUAAAGGACACUUAUGAGUCAGGAACAAAUAUAGUUAUCUCCCUAGACCUUUUUUAACCUCUCGCCCUAAACACUGUAAACGCUGACUGGAAAGGGGACCCCGGAUUUCAAGUCAAGACCAGGACUCCUGGUGCUCCCGCAAGGACAGAAACCUCGGCUCUGCCUGCAUACCAGUGGACAAAGCUGCAUACCUCCUUCUCCCUGUCACUUCUGGGAGCGGCAAUGGUGGCAUGCGCAUGAAACGUUGCCCCUGUGGAUAGUGAAAUAAUACAAACUCUUGAUUUGGGCGUUCGUGUGUUAAGUGUUGUAAUUCCAAGUUCACCCAUUGUCAUAGUUACAGAGGUUAUGUGUUCAUAUUAAAAUGUUUACUGUUGUUGUUAUUAAUGUUAAUUACUUGAACUAAAACCUUGGUUGUUACGUACCUGUAUCCCUUUCCCAACGCGUACUGCUUCCACUGCUCCCUAGAGACUGUGCGCCCGAGGGCAUAUGCAAAUUAAGGUAUACAAAAUGCAAAAGACCCCUAAAGACCAAGCAAUCGUAACACAAAAGAACUGAGAGCAACACCUCCGACCUGGGAAAUAAAAAGGGACCUCGGAUCACCAACUAGAACUGGCUUCUAAGUUGUCACUGUAACUAUAGCAGCACCCGACCAGAACGACACCCCUGGACCACGAGCCGGCAAAGGUCUUCCUGAGGACUCCCGCGAGGACGGAAGCCCCAGCUCUGCUUGGUGGCAAAGCUGAAACAACUCCUCCUCCGUGUCAUCCACGCGAGCAGUGGCGGUGUGCGCGACGCCUCGGGCCCCCACCCAGAGCUGUCCUAAUAAAGGCCUUUUCAAAGGAGCUGGUCUCCUGGCCCAUUUUUAACAGACCCCUUC